rnacentral:rRNA from 1 species
AUUGAACGCUGGCGGCAGGCCUAACACAUGCAAGUCGAACGAGUGGCGGACGGGUGAGUAAUGUCUGGGAAACUGCCCGAUGGAGGGGGAUAACUACUGGAAACGGUAGCUAAUACCGCAUACAAUCGGAUGUGACCAGAUGGGCUUAGCUUGUAGGUGAGGUAACGGCUCACCAAGGCGACCAUCCCUAGCUGGUCUGAGAGGAUGACCAGCCACACUGGAACUGGGACACGGUCAAGACUCCUACGGGAGGCAGCAGUGGGAAAUAUUGCACAAUGGGCGCAAGCCUGAUGCAGCAAUGCCGCGUGUAUGAAGAAGGUCUUCGGGUUGUAAAGUACUUUCAGCGGGGAGGCGUUACCCGCAGAAGAAGCACCGGCUAACUCCGUGCCAGCAGCCGCGGUAAUAC